rnacentral:rRNA from 1 species
AGUGAACGCUGGCGGUAGGCCUAACACAUGCAAGUCGAACGAGUGGCGGACGGGUGAGGAAUACACCGGAAUCUACUCUGUCGUGGGGGAUAACGUAGGGAAACUUACGCUAAUACCGCAUACGAUCGAAUGAGCCGAUGUCGGAUUAGCUAGUUGGCGCGGUAAAGGCCCACCAAGGCGACGAUCCGUAGCUGGUCUGAGAGGAUGAUAAGCCACACUGAAACAGAGACACGAUCCAGACUCCUACGGAAGGCAGCAGUGGGGAAUAUUGGACAAUGGGCGCAAUCCUGAUCCAGCCAUAGCGCGUGGGUGAAGAAGGCCUUCGGGUUGUAAAGCCCUUUUGUAGGGAAAGCGGUACCCGAAGAAUUAGCACCGGCUAACUUCGUGCCAGCAGCCGCGGUAAUAC